GCCGGUGUGACUCAGUGGAUAGAGUGUCGGCUUGCGAACCGAAGGGUCUCGGGUUCGAUUCCAGUCAAGGGCA
rnacentral:tRNA from 1 species